CACCACCACCACCACCACAGAUCACUGCCACUACAGCCGCCGCGGCCCGUCCUCUCGCGAUAGAUAGUGUAGCGGGACCACAACCGAGAGCGGAAAUAGCCAGUCCCAUUCUACAAUCAUUAAGCAAGUGCAGAGUUGGGCUGGGACACUUCCCUCACAGAGAGAAGAGUUGGCAGCCAAUAGAAAAUCCAUGGUAUCAUCGUCCUCCUCCCCAAGCAUCUGUUUCUGUUCCAGAUUCCAUGAAAAAAUGCACUAUGAAGAGACCGAGGGUCAGCAGAACAUUACCUAAAGCAACAACAACAAAAACGUCUUGAAACAAUAACAUAAUACCAGGAGACAGAGUUAUCAGAAAAUAACUAAACUUCUUGGAUUAUAGGACAUACCUGAAAGAGAUAUUGAAACCGACUGCUCCCUCUUUGAUA